rnacentral:rRNA from 1 species
AUUGAACGCUGGCGGCGUGCCUAACACAUGCAAGUCGAGCGGUAACAGGUGUAGCAAUACAUGCUGACGAGCGGCGAACGGGUGAGUAAUGCUUCGGAAUCUACCUUAUGGUGGGGAAUAACCAGCCGAAAGGUUAGCUAAUACCGCAUACGUCCUACGGGAGAACGCAGGCGAUCGCAAGACCUUGCGCCAAAAGAUGCGCCGAAGUCGGAUUAGCUAGUUGGUAGGGUAACGGCCUACCAAGGCGACGAUCCGUAGCUGGUCUGAGAGGACGACCAGCCACACUGGGACUGAGACACGGCCCAGACUCCUACGGGAGGCAGCAGUGGGGAAUAUUGGACAAUGGGGGAAACCCUGAUCCAGCGACGCCGCGUGUGUGAAGAAGGCCUGCGGGUUGUAAAGCACUUUUAGUGGGGAUGAAAUGUGCAGGGUUAAUACCUCUGCAUUUUGACCUAACCCACAGAAAAAGCACCGGCUAACUCUGUGCCAGCCGCCGCCGUAA